CCUACGGAGGCUGCAGUGGGGAAUAUUGGACAAUGGGCGAAAGCCUGAUCCAGCCAUGCCGCGUGUGUGAAGAAGGCCUUCGGGUUGUAAAGCACUUUCAGUGGGGAAGAAAGCCUUGGGGCUAAUACCCUCGAGGAAGGACAUCACCCACAGAAGAAGCACCGGCUAACUCCGUGCCAGCAGCCGCGGUAAUACGGAGGGUGCGAGCGUUAAUCGGAAUUACUGGGCGUAAAGCGCGCGUAGGCGGUCUGAUAAGCCGGUUGUGAAAGCCCCGGGCUCAACCUGGGAACGGCAUCCGGAACUGUCAGGCUAGAGUGCAGGAGAGGAAGGUAGAAUUCCCGGUGUAGCGGUGAAAUGCGUAGAGAUCGGGAGGAAUACCAGUGGCGAAGGCGGCCUUCUGGACUGACACUGACGCUGAGGUGCGAAAGCGUGGGUAGCAAACAGGAUUAGAUACCCCAGAAGUC
rnacentral:rRNA from 1 species